AGGGUUCGAUUAUGGCUCAGGACGAACGCUGGCGGCGUGCUUAACACAUGCAAGUCGAACGAGAAGAGAUGAGAAGCUUGCUUCUUAUCAAUUCGAGUGGCAAACGGGUGAGUAACGCGUAAGCAACCUGCCCUUCAGAUGGGGACAACAGCUGGAAACGGCUGCUAAUACCGAAUACGUUCUUUCCGCCGCAUGACGGGAUGAAGAAAGGGAGGCCUUCGGGCUUUCGCUGGAGGAGGGGCUUGCGUCUGAUUAGCUAGUUGGAGGGGUAACGGCCCACCAAGGCGACGAUCAGUAGCCGGUCUGAGAGGAUGAACGGCCACAUUGGGACUGAGACACGGCCCAG
rnacentral:rRNA from 1 species